rnacentral:lncRNA from 1 species
CUCAUAAUGCCACCCUACUUUUUUACCUCUCCUUCUACACUGACUGCCCUCUCUGACCUUAGACCUGUUAAAAAAACCAGAGAUGACUGGGUGUCUAUCAUAUCACAACAUUCAUCAAAGGAGCAACAACAACAAAAAGAAGACAGCUGGAUUUCAAAAUAAGCCUUCCAUACCCCAACCUCCAAUCAUUUUCCAGAAAUGUCUUCCUUGAGGCAACUUAAAGAAAUCUAGAAAAUCUAAUGGAAAGAGGGAACCCCCUGGAAAGUUUGCUGUUGGGACAAAGCACACAAAGAUCUGGGGACAGUAUAAAAUUCAGGUGGGCUACAGGGUAGCUAUUACAGUAAUCCCAGUGAGAAGGGAUAUGUGUUUGAA